rnacentral:rRNA from 1 species
GCAAGUCGAGGGGUAACAGAUGAAGAGCUUGCUCAGAUUGCUGACGACCGGCGCACGGGUGAGUAAUGCUUGGGAAUAUGCCUUUUGGUGGGGGACAACAGUUGGAAACGACUGCUAAUACCGCAUGAUGUCUACGGACCAAAGUGGGGGACCUUCGGGCCUCACGCCAAAAGAUUAGCCCAAGUGGGAUUAGCUAGUUGGUAAGGUAAUGGCUUACCAAGGCAACGAUCCCUAGCUGGUUUGAGAGGAUGAUC